UACGUAGGGUGCAAGCGUUAAUCAGAAUUACUGGGCGUAAAGCGUGCGCAGGCGGUUUUGUAAGUCUGUCGUGAAAUCCCCGGGCUUAACCUGGGAAUGGCGAUGGAGACUGCAAGGCUAGAGUUUGGCAGAGGGGGGUAGAAUUCCACGUGUAGCAGUGAAAUGCGUAGAGAUGUGGAGGAACACCGAUGGCGAAGGCAGCCCCCUGGGUCAAAACUGACGCUCAUGCACGAAAGCGUGGGGAGCAAACAGG
rnacentral:rRNA from 1 species